GGUACCUGAUGCAGCCAUGCCGCGUGUGUGAAGAAGGCCUUCGGGUUGUAAAGCACUUUCAGUUGUGAGGAAAGGUUGGUAGUUAAUACCUGCCAGCUGUGACGUUAACAACAGAAGAAGCACCGGCUAACUCCGUGCCAGCAGCCGCGGUAAU
rnacentral:rRNA from 1 species